UUCGGCUGCGGAGCAGUCGUAAAACCUGAGUUCGCGGUCUUCCUGAAACACCGCGCCGUCUGAAUUAACGACUGCUCCGCAGCCGAA
rnacentral:misc_RNA from 1 species